UACCCAGUUUCGGGGACCUUGGUACAGGCAGGCCGAGAAUCCCCUCUUUAAUUCGAGCGUCAAACCGUUUUGGGAGCCUGGUACAGGCAGGCCGGGAACUCCCUCUUUUAUUGCUCCAGGAGAUGGAUCUCCAGUCG
rnacentral:ncRNA from 1 species